rnacentral:rRNA from 1 species
GCUUGUCUCAAAGAUUAAGCCAUGCAUGUCUAAGUAUAAACAAAUCUAUACUGUGAAACUGCGAAUGGCUCAUUAUAUCAGUUAUAGUUUAUUUGAAGGUCCUUGCUACUUGGAUAACCGUAGUAAUUCUAGAGCUAAUACAUGCAUCAAACCCCGACUUUUGGAAGGGGUGUAUUUAUUAGAUGGAAACCAAUGCGGGGCAACCCGGUAAAUGGUGAUUCAUAAUAACUUCGGAUCGGUCUUCGGAUCGAUGCUUCAUUCAAGUUUCUGCCCUAUCAGCUUUGGAUGGUAGGGUAUUGGCCUACCAUGGCUUUAACGGGUAACGGAGAAUUAGGGUUCGAUUCCGGAGAGGGAGCCUGAGAAAUGGCUACCACAUCCAAGGAAGGCAGCAGG